rnacentral:rRNA from 1 species
UACGUAGGUGGCGAGCGUUGUCCGGAUUUACUGGGCGUAAAGAGCGCGCAGGCGGUCGUUCAAGUCGCGUGUGAAAGCCCCCGGCUCAACUGGGGAGGGUCACGCGAUACUGAUCGACUCGAAGGCAGGAGAGGGAAGUGGAAUUCCCGGUGUAGUGGUGAAAUGCGUAGAUAUCGGGAGGAACACCAGUGGCGAAGGCGACUACCUGGCCUGUUCUUGACGCUGAGGCGCGAAAGCUAGGGGAGCAAACGGG